rnacentral:rRNA from 1 species
UACACUCCUACGGGAGGCAGCAGUGGGGAAUAUUGGACAAUGGGCGCAAGCCUGAUCCAGCCAUGCCGCGUGAGUGAUGAAGGCCCUAGGGUUGUAAAGCUCUUUCACCGGUGAAGAUAAUGACGGUAACCGGAGAAGAAGCCCCGGCUAACUUCGUGCCAGCAGCCGCGGUAAUACGAAGGGGGCUAGCGUUGUUCGGAUUUACUGGGCGUAAAGCGCACGUAGGCGGACUAUUAAGUCAGGGGUGAAAUCCCGGGGCUCAACCCCGGAACUGCCUUUGAUACUGGUAGUCUUGAGUUCGAGAGAGGUGAGUGGAAUUCCGAGUGUAGAGGUGAAAUUCGUAGAUAUUCGGAGGAACACCAGUGGCGAAGGCGGCUCACUGGCUCGAUACUGACGCUGAGGUGCGAAAGCGUGGGGAGCAAACAGGAUUAGAAACCCGAGUAGUCC